AUACCAGACUCCUACGGGAGGCAGCAGUGGGGAAUAUUGCACAAUGGGGGAAACCCUGAUGCAGCGACGCCGCGUGAGCGAAGAAGUAUUUCGGUAUGUAAAGCUCUAUCAGCAGGGAAGAAAAAAAUGACGGUACCUGAGUAAGAAGCACCGGCUAAAUACGUGCCAGCAGCCGCGGUAAUACGUAUGGUGCAAGCGUUAUCCGGAUUUACUGGGUGUAAAGGGAGCGUAGGCGGCGCGUUAAGUCUGAUGUGAAAGCCCGAGGCUCAACCACGGGAGUGCAUUGGAAUCUGGCGGGCUGGAGUGCCGGAGAGGCAAGCGGAAUUCCUGGUGUAGCGGUGAAAUGCGUAGAUAUUAGGAGGAACACCAGUGGCGAAGGCGGCUUACUGGACGGCAACUGACGCUGAGGCUCGAAAGCGUGGGGAGCAAACAGGAUUA
rnacentral:rRNA from 1 species